CAGGACGAGAAGGUGUACAGGCCCGCCACCGGGUCGUAGUGGGCGUCCAGCCACUUCCCACCGUCACCGCUGGACUCCACAGAAGACAUGAUGACAGCAGGAAGGGGCGGGGUCACCUGCUGGGGUCACCUGCUGGGGUCACCUGCUGGGUACAGGAAACCAGGUCAACUCUGACUCCUUCUUCUGUCCUUCUGCUGCUGGAGGAGACAGCAGAGACAGCAGAGACAGUAGAGACAGCAGAGACAGCAGAGACAGCAGAGACAGCAGAGAC